rnacentral:tRNA from 1 species
ACUAACUGUAAGUUAAGUAAACUUCUCAUCUUUUAAAUGAGCAAUGCUAAAAGCCUGUAGUA